rnacentral:rRNA from 1 species
UACAGAGGGUGCAAGCGUUAAUCGGAAUUACUGGGCGUAAAGGGCGCGUAGGCGGCCUUCUAAGUCGAACGUGAAAUCCCUGGGCUCAACCCAGGAACUGCGUCCGAUACUGGAAGGCUUGAAUCCGGGAGAGGGAUGCGGAAUUCCAGGUGUAGCGGUGAAAUGCGUAGAUAUCUGGAGGAACACCGGUGGCGAAGGCGGCAUCCUGGACCGGCAUUGACGCUGAGGCGCGAAAGCUAGGGGAGCAAACGGG